rnacentral:rRNA from 1 species
UACGUAGGGAGCAAGCGUUGUCCGGAAUCAUUGGGCGUAAAGCGCGUGUAGGCGGCUUGAUAAGUCUGCUCUGAAAGCCCGGGGCUCAACCCUGGGAGGCGGGUGGAUACUGUCGAGCUCGAGUCCGGAAGAGGCGAGUGGAAUUCCUGGUGUAGCGGUGAAAUGCGCAGAUAUCAGGAGGAACACCAAUGGCGAAGGCAGCUCGCUGGGACGGUACUGACGCUGAAAUACGAAAGCGUGGGGAGCAAACAGG